rnacentral:rRNA from 1 species
ACGAACGCUGGUGGUAUGCCUAAUACAUGCAAGUCGCACGAGAAAGUCUUUCGGGGAUGAGUACAGUGGCGCACGGGUGAGUAACGCGUGGGUGACGUGCCUUUAGUGGGGGACAACCUCGGGAAACCGGGGCUAAUACCGCAUAUGUAGUUUCUAUUUGAAUAGGAAAUUACAAAGAUGGCCUCUAUUUAUAAGCUAUCGCUAAAAGAUCGGCCCGCGUAGCAUUAGCUUGUUGGUGGGGUAAUGGCCUACCAAGGCUACGAUGCUUAACUGGUCUGAGAGGAUGAUCAGUCACACUGGAACUGAGACACGGUCCAGACUCCUACGGGAGGCAGCAGUAGGGAAUAUUGCACAAUGGGGGAAAACCCUGAUGCAGCAAUACCACGUGAGUGAGGAAGGCCUUCGGGUUGUAAAGCUCUGUCCUGAGGGAAGAAUGGCUAGGUAGCUAAUAUCUGCUUAGUUUGACGGUACCUCAGAAGAAAGCACCGGCUAAUUCCGUG